AUCGGGCGGUUCCCCUUCGGGGGACAGGGUGACAGGUGGUGCAUGGUUGUCGUCAGCUCGUGUCGUGAGAUGUUGGGUUAAGUCCCGCAACGAGCGCAACCCUCGACCUUAGUUGCCAGCAUUCAGUUGGGCACUCUAAGGUGACUGCCGGCUAAAAGUCGGAGGAAGGUGGGGAUGACGUCAAAUCAUCAUGCCCCUUAUGACCUGGGCUACACACGUGCUACAAUGGGCGGUACAAAGGGUCGCGAACCCGCGAGGGGGAGCCAAUCCCAAAAAGCCGCUCUCAGUUCGGACUGCAGGCUGCAACUCGCCUGCAUGAAGCCGGAAUCGCUAGUAAUCGCGGAUCAGCAUGCCGCGGUGAAUACGUUCCCGGGCCUU
rnacentral:rRNA from 1 species